UACGUAGGGUGCAAGCGUUGUCCGGAAUUAUUGGGCGUAAAGAGCUCGUAGGCGGCUUGUCACGUCGGGUGUGAAAGCCCGGGGCUUAACCCCGGGUCUGCAUUCGAUACGGGCAGGCUAGAGUGUGGUAGGGGAGAUCGGAAUUCCUGGUGUAGCGGUGAAAUGCGUAGAUAUCUGGAGGAACACCGGUGGCGAAGGCGGCAUCCUGGACCGGCAUUGACGCUAAGGCGCGAAAGCGUGGGGAGCAAACAGG
rnacentral:rRNA from 1 species